rnacentral:lncRNA from 1 species
GUUUAUAGUGGUUUUUUAGGGGUUUAUAAGUGUUUUUAGGCGUUUUUAGUGGUUUUGAAGGGUUUAUAAUGGUUUUUGAAUGUUUAUAUGUGUUUUAAGCGGUUUUAGUCGUUUUUAAGAGUUUAUAUUGGUUUUUUAGGGGUUUAAAAGUGUUUCUAGUGGUUUUUGAGGGGUUUAAAAGUGUUUUGAGGGGAUUUUAGGGUUUAAUAUUGGUUUUUUAGAGGUUUAUAAGUGUUUUGAGGGUUUUUAGUUAUUUUUAGCGGUAUCUUUGGGCUUUUAGAGUAUUUAAGGGGUAUUUUUAGGUUUUUAUGGUUUUUAAGGGGUAUUUUUCUGUUUUUGGGGUUUUUAAGGGGUAUUUUUUGGUUUUUAUGGUUUUUAAGGGAUAUUUUUGGGUAUUUUUGNN